UGGGGAAUAUUGGACAAUGGGGGGAACCCUGAUCCAGCCAUGCCGCGUGUGUGAAGAAGGCCUUAUGGUUGUAAAGCACUUUAAGCGAGGAGGAGGGUACUGGUAUUAAUACUACCAGGUACUGGACGUUACUCGCAGAAUAAGCACCGGCUAACUCUGUGCCAGCAGCCGCGGUAAUACAGAGGGUGCGAGCGUUAAUCGGAUUUACUGGGCGUAAAGCGUGCGUAGGCGGCUAAUUGAGUCGGAUGUGAAAUCCCCGAGCUUAACUUGGGAAUUGCAUUCGAUACUGGUUAGCUAGAGUGUGGGAGAGGAUGGUAGAAUUCCAGGUGUAGCGGUGAAAUGCGCAGAGAUCUGGAGGAAUACCGAUGGCGAAGGCAGCCAUCUGGCCUAACACUGACGCUGAGGUACGAAAGCAUGGGGAGCAAACAGG
rnacentral:rRNA from 1 species